rnacentral:rRNA from 1 species
UGUUUUGUUGAAAGCUUUAGUGGUUUUGGAUGGACUCGCGGCCUAUCAGCUUGUUGGUGAGGUAAUGGCUUACCAAGGCGACGACGGGUAGCCGGCCUGAGAGGGUGACCGGCCACACUGGGACUGAGACACGGCCCAGACUCCUACGGGAGGCAGCAGUGGGGAAUAUUGCACAAUGGGCGAAAGCCUGACGCAGCGACGCCGCGUGAGGGAUGACGGCCUUCGGGUUGUAAACCUCUUUCAGUAGGGAACAAGGCCACACGUUGUGUGGUUGAGGGUACUUGCAGAAGAAGCGCCGGCUAACUACGUGCCAGCAGCCGCGGUAAUACGUAGGGCGCAAGCGUUAUCCGGAAUUAUUGGGCGUAAAGAGCUCGUAGGCGGUUUGUCGCGUCUGCCGUGAAAGUCCGGGGCUCAACUCCGGAUCUGCGGUGGGUACGGGCAGACUAGAGUGAUGUAGGGGAGACUGGAAUUCCUGGUGUAGCGGUGAAAUGCGCAGAUAUCAGGAGGAACACCGAUGGCGAAGGCAGGUCUCUGGGCAUUAACUGACGCUGAGGAGCGAAAGCAUGGGGAGCGAACAGGAUUAGAUACCCUGGUAGUCCAUGCCGUAAACGUUGGGCACUAGGUGUGGGGGACAUUCCACGUUUUCCGCGCCGUAGCUAACGCAUUAAGUGCCCCGCCUGGGGAGUACGGCCGCAAGGCU